AAGAAAACCAGCCCUCUGAAAGCCUUCCCUUAUACUAAGGUGCCAUGAAGGCUUUGGACUCCGAUAAACAGCAACAAGCAGGUUUGUUGGGGCCAGAAGCUAUCCACUGGAUUGUGCAAAAAGCUGAAAACAGGCAUGGGAAAGACUCUGGUACAUCAAAGUUACUCACACACGACAAUUGCCAAUAAACAUAACCAAAUAAAAAGGGCAAUUAAUUCAUUAUUUGAUUGAAGAUGUCUACCUGGAGUAAUUUACAUCAAAUGGUUUUUUCAAAGGUAUUCAGUUAUGUCAAAUGUUAGAGAAUAAAAUAAGUUAAAGGGAAACUUACUAUUAUGGAGAUCAGGUGAAUAUAGCACUCUGAAAAUCUAGUCACCUUAUAAUUUACUGUCUAAGUCCCAAACCAGGACACAUGUGUAGCAUGUAUGCCCAUAAAUAAAGUCUAUUGUUAUUUGUUUAA